rnacentral:rRNA from 1 species
GUUGACCUCGGAUCAGGUAGGAAUACCCGCUGAACUUAAGCAUAUCAAUAAGCGGAGGAAAAGAAACCAACAGGGAUUGCCUCAGUAACGGCGAGUGAAGCGGCAACAGCUCAAAUUUGAAAUCUGGCCUCACGGUCCGAGUUGUAAUUUGUAGAGGAUGUUUUGGGUACCGCCGCGGUUUAAAUUUCUUGGAACAGAAUGUCAAAGAGGGUGAGAGUCCCGUCUUGGAUCGCGGUAGGGCCUGUGUAAAACUCCUUCGACGAGUCGACUUGUUUGGGAAUGCAGGUCAAAAUGGGUGGUAAAUUUCAUCUAAAGCUAAAUAUUGGCCAGAGACCGAUAGCGCACAAGUAGAGUGAUCGANAGAUGAAAAGCACUUUGAAAAGAGAGUUAAACAGUAUGUGAAAUUGUUGAAAGGGAAGCGCUGGCAAUCAGACUCGUGCGCGGGGUUCCCCCUUGCUUCUGCUUGGGUCACUUCCCCGUGUCCGGGCCAUCAUCAGUUUCGGGGGCCGGUUAAAGGCCCUGGGAAUGUACCUACUCCUUCGGGGGUAGACUUAUAGCCCAGGGUGUCAUGCGGCCACCCGGGACUGAGGAACGCGCUUCGGCGAGGAUGAUGGCGUAAUGGUUGUCAGCGACCCGUCUUGAAACACGGACCAAGGAGUCUAACAUCUAUGCGAGUGUUCGGGUGUCAAACCCUUGCGCGGAAUGAAAGUGAACGGAGGUAGGAAGGCUUACGCCUGCACUAUCGACCGAUCCUGAUGUCUUCGGAUGGAUUUGAGUAAGAGCAUAGCUGUUGGGACCCGAAAGAUGGUGAACUAUGCGUGAAUAGGGUGAAGCCAGAGGAAACUCUGGUGGAGGCUCGCAGCGGUUCUGACGUGCAAAUCGAUCGUCAAAUUUGCGUAUAG